ACAUUGGUGGUUCAGUAGCAGAAUUGUCACCUUCCAUGUGAAAAACCCAGGUUCGAUUCCCAGCCAAUGCA
rnacentral:tRNA from 1 species